AGCGAACGCUGGCGGCAGGCCUAACACAUGCAAGUCGAACGAACUCUUCGGAGUUAGUGGCGGACGGGUGAGUAACACGUGGGAACGUGCCUUUUGGUUCGGAAUAACUCAGGGAAACUUGUGCUAAUACCGAAUGUGCCCUUCGGGGGAAAGAUUUAUCGCCAUUAGAGCGGCCCGCGUCUGAUUAGCUAGUUGGUGAGGUAACGGCUCACCAAGGCGACGAUCAGUAGCUGGUCUGAGAGGAUGACCAGCCACACUGGGACUGAUACACGGCCCAGACUCCUACGGGAGGCAGCAGUGGGGAAUCUUGCGCAAUGGGCGAAAGCCUGACGCAGCCAUGCCGCGUGAAUGAUGAAGGUCUUAGGAUUGUAAAAUUCUUUCACCGGGGACGAUAAUGACGGUACCCGGAGAAGAAGCCCCGGCUAACUUCGUG
rnacentral:rRNA from 1 species